GACGAACGCUGGCGGCGUGCUUAACACAUGCAAGUCGAACGAUGAACCCGGAGCUUGCUCCGGCGGAUUAGUGGCGAACGGGUGAGUAACACGUGAGUAACCUGCCCUUGACUCUGGGAUAACUGCUAGAGGUGCUAAUACCGGAUACGAACUCCUUGGGCAUCCUUGGAGUUGGAAAGUUUUUCGGUCUGGGAUGGGCCCGCGGCCUAUCAGCUUGUUGGUGAGGUAACGGCUCACCAAGGCGACGACGGGUAGCCGGCCUGAGAGGGCGACCGGCCACACUGGGACUGAGACACGGCCCAGACUCCUACGGGAGGCAGCAGUGGGGAAUAUUGCGCAAUGGGCGAAAGCCUGACGCAGCAACGCCGCGUGAGGGAUGACGGCCUUCGGGUUGUAAACCUCUUUCAGCAGGGAAGAAGCGAAAGUGACGGUACCUGCAGAAGAAGCACCGGCUAACUACGUGCCAGCCGCCGCGGUAA
rnacentral:rRNA from 1 species